CAGAAAGCUCCCGGAAAGAAGGAGGGAGUGGAAGUGGAGGGGCUCUGCAAGGGAGGUCAGGUGGCCUCCGUGCUCCAACAUUGGCACUGUGUAGGGAAGAGGAACGGGGAGCCGGGUGGGUGUGGGAGGCUGGGGCCCCCAAGAGAGCUCACCCCAAGUUUCUCCAUCUGGCUUAGAGCUGCCUGUGGGACUUUCCUUCCAGGCCUCAGGAAGAGGGGCUUCCCAAGCAUUUUGGGUCCAGGGCCAGGGGUUCUCGGUCAAAGUCAAGUGAGGGGCUAUGUCUCAGAGGUGGUUUAGGGCAGGACCCUGCCAUGCCUAGUGCACAGGGAAAGAGAUGGAGAUGCUGAGGAGGGCAGGGACCCCUCAGCAGGUGCCUGGGAAGAGCAGAGCGGCUAUGCGUGCUGUACAGGUGCAGGUGCCCAUGGGCACAGCCAAGGGGUGAGUGAGGUCUGAGCUUGAGCCCAUGCUCUGGUUGCCAAGUAGGGCACAUGGCACAGAGCUGUGUUGACCUGAAGAGAAUGCCUCUUUCCAGUUGGUACAAACAUGCUGUGUAGGCCGGUGACCAGCUAUGAGGAUAAGCAGAAUAUUUGAAGCCACACAGACAGGCAUCCCUGCCCACCUUGGUUCAUACAACCCAUGGGACCCUGGAAAGGGCCCCCGGCAUCUCUGAGCUUUCCUUUCCUCACAGUAAAUGAUAAUAACCAAAAUGCCACUUCUUGGGGCUAUUGAGAGGAAUAAAUAAGAUAAUCUGCAUAAGAAUGCUUUGUAAGCAGUAAAACAUAUAGCUUUUUAAAGGGCAUGUAAAUGAGUAUUGAGAAAAGGCAGCGUGAGCAUUGCCGCGCGCAUUCAGUGCUGGAUGGUGUGAGUCACCGGCUGUGAGGCUGGGAAUGUCUGAGUGUGUUUGGCAGGUCAGGUGGGGUGUAUGUUGGAACGUGGGUGUGGGACUGUGUCUGCCCAGAUGUGGAUUUGCUCUGAGUAAGAUGAGGAAACUCAUCAGAAAAGUCCUUGGCUGCUGCGGACGGAUCUGAGAGUGUGCGGCUGGUAUCUGAGUGUGACCGCAGGCUGGUGUGCACGUGUGUACCAGUGAGGGUGUGAGGAUGGGUGCCUGACUUUGCAAUGGGCAUGGCGAGAUUGUGAUUGGGCAUUAGGAAGGCACAGGCCCAUGGAUGCAAGUGAGUCAGGGUGUUGGAGUCAGUGUGCAAGACCAUCUGCAGGGUCAGGGGUGUUUAGUGUGCACAUAUAUGGCAUGCACACACGUGCACACAUGCACACAUGCACAGUGAAAGCAGGCUUGGCAGUGUCAGCAGUAUACCUCCUACCUCUGAACCUGAUGCAAAAUUCAUGGAGCAUAGGAUUCUAGAAAUGCAGAGAAGGAGGGGGAGGCAGGCCCCUCCGGAACAGUGAGUCACAGGACAGCGAGGGGCUGAAUGUAGAAUCCCUUCCUCCCCUCAUGAGCUCUGAGGCUCAGAGAGGCUGCCUGCCCAUCUAUUUCUUCCCAGCUUCUGCUCUGGGGCCUUCCUUGGGAUGUCAUAAUGAUCCAUAUUCUGUAACACAUCAACGCUGGAAGUCUAGCUGCCCUUGGCCAGCGCAGAUGCUGGGGAGUGGAGGCAGGGGAGAGAGGGAAGCAUUGGGACCCCCCAAUGGUCCCAAUUCAUACAGGCCUCUGGGCCCCAUCAGAUGAGCAGGUGAUGGUACCAGGGCAGUGAGGCACCAAGGCAUCUCUGGAAUAGUGAGUACCCCCAUGGUACUGGGGAUCACAGUGGUAAUUGGGGAGCAGCACCUUGAGUUGGGCAGUUUCCAGGGACCUCAGACAAACCUCUGUAGGCUCAGCACCUUCUUCUCUAUGGUGGUCAGGCUGGAACGGAGACUCGGUGGAAGGUUCAUCUAUACCUGCCAUUGGCCACUUUCCUAUGAUGGGGCAGGGCUCCUGGGCCUGACAGGGCAGGAGGACUUCCGGCCCCACACCCCAUCCUUGCUCUAAUGCUGGCAUCCAGUCUCUGACUGUGGAUCUGGCUGGGUUGUGGGGUGGGGCUGGAAGGGCUCCAAGAUGAGCCAGGCGUGCUGACCCCCUUGGAGGAAGGCGCUGCAGAGGCCAGCAGGGGCACGCAGCACACCAGCUGGGAAGGAGACAGGAGCCCAGAGGGGCAGGGGCCCUGUCACGUCCAUUUACACUCCAUGUGCUGGAACUCGGCCCUCUAGGGAAGAGGAAUGUGAUGCCAGAGAGGCUGGGGGACAUCUGUCUCCCCAGUUCAGGCCAAGACACACUCACUCAUUGCUUGAAGCCCCAUGGCCCUGUUCCUCCUGGGUCUCUAGACCCAAUGGUUCCCUCUCUUCUCUCUUCCCCUCCCCUUUCCUUUCUCCCUCCUUUUCUAAUCUUGUCUCUCUCUGAACCUGAAGUGCUUUGGCAUUAAAUCCCAUUCCCCAUCCUCUCUUUAGAUCCUCCCUGUGCCUCGGAAGGGUGGUAAAUAAAGCGAGAGAGAGGCCGGGGAGCCAAGAGCCUUAAAUGCUCCUCUCUGCACUGCCUGCAGCCCUUGUCUCCUGAUGGGGACGUCACAGCCCCAGAGAAAAAGGGGGCUCCUGGGCCUCAUGCCAUCGUGUGCACAGGCACACACAUGCACACACACGCCAUGCUUUUGUGAGGAGGGGGAGGAGGCCUUCAAGUGGGAAAGAAAAGAAAUCAAAGCACUCCCGGUGCUUCGUUUACAUCAGGCUCUAAGUAGGUGGAGGGGAAGCAGAGGAGGGAGGAGCUGGGGGCAAUAGGUCACACACGUGGCAGGAGGACUCAGCAGGGCAGGCACCUCGAGAGAUCAGCCCCCAAGCUCCUGAUCCUGAGGCUGUCAGCCUGAGAUGGAGGGGUUGGGACCAGCCAGGCUGACCUGAGCACUGCCCGCGCCAGCCCCCAGACCCCUUAGCUGAGAGCUCAGAACCCUUCAGAACAGGCCCUGCCUUCCUCAUCACUCCUGCCGUCCCCAGCCUGUAUGCAUGCCCCGUCUAUGCGCCUGUCUUUUUAUUGCACCUCACUGACAUAGGAUGCAGAGUUUCUAAAAACCCAAAAUACACAAAUAAACCUCCCCCGACCAAACACACACAGCUUGGGAGUCGGACAGCCAGGUUGGACCUGGGAUGGGCUGCCAUAAGCAUACCUGGGCAGCCCGGUGGACAGCUCCACUCCCCUCUUUGUUUCUGGCCACCCAGCCAUCUUCCCUUUGGGAAGUCAGCUCUCUGGCUGUCCCUUUUCCCAUCCUGUCCUAGCCUUUUCUCAGCUGUGUUGGCCCUACUUUCCUGUUCCAGGGAGCAGGGGAGGUGCUUGACCCAGCCUGGCCAAUGAGAGCUUUCAUCGCCUGGACAUGCAGAUUGGUCCAGAGUCAGGGAAGUCAGCUUUAGAACAUUUGCUGGGAAUUUGGGGAAGGGGCUCUCUUUCCCCUGGCAUUGCUAAACUGGUGGAAAUAUACCUGAAGCUGCUUUUUCACCACUCAGGAAUACUCUUCCUGAGAAUAAAGCCAGCACAGGACAGCAGGGCGAAGCAAUAGAGAAAACAGAUACUCAGUAACCUUGAUCGAAUGAAUGCCUGGAUACAACCAUGUCUGAAACAAUAAAACCAUAUUGUUUUCCUGGACUGCUCACUUAUGAGAGCCAAUUACUUUUUUCUUCUUGCUGAAGCCAGUUUGACUUGGGUUUCUGUCUCUUGCAAAGUAAGGGGUUAACUAAUAUAGAGAGGCAACUAAAUUUCUUUGAACUUGAGUUUUCUCAUCUGUAAAAUUAUCUCCCUUAUGAAUUCUAAAAGGACCGACUGAAGGCACUGAAGGAUGCCUCGCAGGCCUGCUGUAAGGAGCACAGAUUACUUUUGUGCAAAGCCUUUGGCCAUUUCUAUCUCACAUGAUCCUUUCACGAACUCUGGUAAGGUCUUAGGACUGUGAUCAUGCUGUCCCACUUUCAGAGGAAGAACCUCGGGGUCAGGAUUGUUAUAGGUGCCAGGGAACUUCUGUUAACCCCCAGAUCCAUGGCCAUCCUCUGUCCCUGGUCUCUGCCCCAGGGAGCUGAUCUGCUAGGACUGAGUCCACCAGACCCUGUGUCUCUGGAUUCCCACUGGGUUCUGCCAAUGGGAAGCCCCAGCAGGGGAUCCAAAGGUUGGAGGAGAAGUCAAAGCAUUUCUUCCCCCAUAUCCCUCUCCUGUGGUCACCUCAGGCUGGCCAGGUCCAUUGACUGGAGGUCAGUGCUACUCACGUGGUGGCCUCUCUUUCUGGGUUCUGGUAACCACUCCCUUCCUUCGGACCUUGAGGUGUUAACAGCCCUGCUUCUGCCUACACCCUGCCAACACAUUUAUAAAAUGUCGUGUAUUAAACUCUUCCUGAUUGUGAGCCAUUGAUAUCCCUCGGAGACUGACUGACAUUGGGUCGCCCAAUGUCAUCAGCUAUUUGAAUUCAAGUAUGUAGGUUUUGUAUCCUGUGUUUUUUGAACUCCCCGGCAUUACCCACUGCUCCUGGGACCUCUCACAGUCCCAUCUUCCGCUAAGGCCCAGGUGAGCCACACUCUCUCCCUGAAGCUUUCCCAAGUCCCCAUCCUCCUGCCUCGUCCUUGUCCAAACCAUCCUCUCCCGUCCCUCUUUCCCUCUGUACUCUGUUCAUAUCUCUAUCUAUGGGUGUGGGUGCCUGCCAGAUGCCUGUCUAAUCUUCCCCAGGUGCAGGGGCCAUGAGUCAUUCCAUCUGUCUCUCCAGUGCCCAGCACCAUUUCCCUCAGCCUCUCAGUGCCCAGUCUAGGAGCUGGCACAUAGUAGAUGCUCAAUCUACCAUGAGCAUCUAUUCAUAGUAGAUGAGUUGGCUGAAUUCAAUAAUAGAACCUAGAGUCACUCUCUGUGAUGGGGCCACAGGAGCCUCUGCAUUAGUGGUGGUCUCUGCCCAGAACACCUUUCCUUCCUGUGGCUGCCCAGGGAACCCCUCCUCAUCCUUCAAAACUCAGCUCAAGCAAUCCCUCCUCUGGGAAGUCUUUCCUCACUCAGAGGUCUGGCACCAGUGGUGCAUUGUAUGGUUCUCCAGCUACUCUUGCCUGGCUCUCUCCUGUGUGUCCAGGCACCCCAAGAGCAGGCUAACUCACAUCAGAGCUUCACACGGCACUGACGUGAGUUAGCCCUGCUCAAUUCAUGUCACCGCUUCUUUGCUAGGGGAGCGGUGUGGCUCGUGGAAAAGUGGCAUGUGGAUCUGGCCACAACUCUGACCAGAAGUCUGACCUCGCCUGACCUUUCUGAGCCUCAGUUUGCAGGUAUUGCCUAACACUGUGCUUGGUGCAUGAGGGUGAUCAGUGGAUGGUCACACAAUGAACAGCUGUGGCCAUUUCUUUUACUUAAAAAGAUCUCCUUGUCAGGGUAUAUGGCAACCCCUAAUGUAUCCAUCUGUGGUAGCUCCUGCUUGAAUGCUGGGCUCACUGGGAAGUGGUCUGCCAUGAUAGUGUGGCCUUGGAGAGCAGCCAGCAUUUCCCCUAAGAGCAGGAGACACUGCUCUUGUAUCCAAAAAGGAAGGUCUGGGACAGAUAAUUGGAACAAGGAAGUCCCACUUGAUGAGUAAGACUGACAGCUUGGCCUGCCUCUGCAGGUGCUUGGGUAUCUGGAAGGUGUUCCUUGAUGGCAGGGGUGGAGCUGGCGCCUGCCUUGUGAAUGGCCCUAAGAGCCACCACUAAUUGAGCGUGUCAUGUGUGAGCCCUGUGCUUGGGGUUUAGCUCUCAUGGCACUGUUAUGAGUAAGUAUUUUUGUCUCCACUUUCCAGAGGAGGAACUGCAUUUUAGAGUGAUGAAGUAGCUUACUGAGAGCCAGGGUCCAAAUUCCAGCCUGGCUCUAAUGCUUAUGACCACAGCUGAAGUGGAAACAGAGGAGACCAGAGGGGGAGACCCUGUAGGCACCCCCAGCCCCGACAAUGAGCCACUGUGGUUUGUAAAUCCAAUCACCUGGCUACCUGUGGUUCAGUUGUGAGUUUGUCUAUGGGCCCCUGUGUGGCUGAGCUAUAGGGACCCAAUGGGAGGCUCAUGUGGCUGGGCGUGGGCCAGAGUUACAGUGAAGCAGGCCCAGCAUGAAGCCUGAGUGUGGGUCAGCUACAGACCCCAAGGGAAAUGUGAGACUGGGGCACAGAGCUGUGAUCUCUUCUCCCCCCAGGGCCAGGUGGCACAGGGCUAGUGGCCCCGGCGCCCAUGUGGUCCUUCUUUCCUCACAAUGCACAGCCUCGUGCAGGGCUGGGCUGGAAAGGGAAGACCCUCAGAGCAUGUGGGCUCAGUGUGGAGCUGUAGACCUGACCUGAAAUGUUCUAAUCACAGAAAAACCACACCUUGGACCCCACCAGCCCUCCCGGCCCCCUGCCCUGGUAGCACUAGAGAAAUGCCAACACAUGCCCGCAUGAAGUACAAUGAGGGCAAAUGGCCUGUUCUUUGCUCCCAGAUCCAUGUCAAACUAUACAAUUAUAAACCAAACGAAAGUACAUUUCUAAAUGAUGUGCUAUUUUAGUUCUUCUGUUCCACAUUGAGCUCCAAGUUGGUUCUGGAGGAGGGAGGAGUAAUGAAGAAGUCCAGGGCUGGGGAGGCAGAGGCUGGGGCUGUGCCUUGGGUUCCCAUCCACGUGCUCCCCUAAGACCCUGCAAAAGCACCUUGGGCAGCACAGAAGCAUCUCCCUCUCUCCUGGGUAGCCCAAGGGAGAGGCUCUGCAUCCCAUGGGUAAUGCAGUAUCGACAACUUGCUUCUCUCUUCUCAACAACCAGCUCAGUGCAUAACCGAUCAAUCUGCAAUCACAGCUGCUUUCCAGCCUUAACACCAUCGCCAGCACUCAAGGGCUGGUGUGAGGAUGGUGGCGCCUGUUUUCCCACCUGCCUUCCACGACGAGAGCUAAAAGUGGGAGAAGGUGGAGCUGGGAGCAGUUGAGCUAUCCAGGGGUGCUCCAGAUCCACUGGGUAAGAAUCUCAGUAGGGGCACCCGGGUGUUUGAAUGGUUCACAAAGCUUCUGGGUGAUUCUAAUGAAAUGCAUGGGUAUGACAGGUGGGGAAAUUGAGGUUCUGAGAGAAGCAAACUGCCAAAGCCCCUGAGCUCAGUGGUGGGCCAUUACAUGAGUGAUGGGGAUUAGGUGGAUUCCUGGAGGAAGGGUACUUGAGCAGGGAUUGCAGGUAGGGAGAGGGGAGGCUUGCAGAGGGAGAGGGCAGGGUGUUCCUGCAGGGAGAAGGUCCGGAGUGAAGGCUUUGAAGUGGAACUGAGCACAUUUAAUUCUCUUCUGGAGAGGAACUGAAUCCAUGGAGAGAAAGAUGCCCCAGUA
rnacentral:lncRNA from 1 species